AGACUGAACCAGCCAUGCCGCGUGCAGGAUGAAGGUUCUAUGGAAUCGUAAACUGCUUUUCUAAGGGAAGAAACCUCCGACGUGAGGGUAGUUGCCGGUACUUUAGGAAUAAGCAUCGGCUAACUCCGUGCCAGCAGCCGCGGUAAUA
rnacentral:rRNA from 1 species